rnacentral:rRNA from 1 species
UACGGAGGGUGCAAGCGUUAUCCGGAUUCACUGGGUUUAAAGGGUGCGUAGGAGGGCAGGUAAGUCAGUGGUGAAAUCUCCAAGCUUAACUUGGAAACUGCCGUUGAUACUAUCUGUCUUGAAUACCGUGGAGGUGAGCGGAAUAUGUCAUGUAGCGGUGAAAUGCUUAGAUAUGACAUAGAACACCAAUUGCGAAGGCAGCUCGCUACACGAAUAUUGACUCUGAGGCACGAAAGCGUAGGGAUCAAACAGG